AAAUUGAAGAGUUUGAUCAUGGCUCAGAUUGAACGCUGGCGGCAGGCCUAACACAUGCAAGUCGAACGGUAGCACAAAGGAGCUUGCUCCUUGGGUGACGAGUGGCGGACGGGUGAGUAAUGUCUGGGAAACUGCCCGAUGGAGGGGGAUAACUACUGGAAACGGUAGCUAAUACCGCAUAACGUCGCAAGACCAAAGAGGGGGACCUUCGGGCCUCUUGCCAUCGGAUGUGCCCAGAUGGGAUUAGCUAGUAGGUGGGGUAACGGCUCACCUAGGCGACGAUCCCUAGCUGGUCUGAGAGGAUGACCAGCCACACUGGAACUGAGACACGGUCCAGACUCCUACGGGAGGCAGCAGUGGGGAAUAUUGCACAAUGGGCGCAAGCCUGAUGCAGCCAUGCCGCGUGUAUGAAGAAGGCCUUCGGGUUGUAAAGUACUUUCAGCGAGGAGGAAGGCAUUAAGGUUAAUAACCUUAG
rnacentral:rRNA from 1 species